GGUGGUGCAGUGGUUAAGCAUUUGGCUGCUAACCAGAAGGUUGGUGGUUCGAAUCCACCAGCUGCCC
rnacentral:tRNA from 1 species